rnacentral:rRNA from 1 species
CCUACGGGAGGCAGCAGUGAGGAAUAUUGGUCAAUGGACGUAAGUCUGAACCAGCCAAGUCGCGUGAAGGAUGACGGACCUAUGGUUUGUAAACUUCUUUUAUAGGGGAAUAAAGUUAUCCACGUGUGGAUUUUUGCAUGUACCCUAUGAAUAAGCAUCGGCUAACUCCGUGCCAGCAGCCGCGGUAAUACGGAGGAUCCGAGCGUUAUCCGGAUUUAUUGGGUUUAAAGGGUGCGUAGGUGGUUGUUUAAGUCAGCUGUGAAAGUUUGCGGCUCAACCGUAAAAUUGCAGUUGAAACUGGAUGACUUGAGUGUGUUGGAGGUAGGCGGAAUUCGUGGUGUAGCGGUGAAAUGCAUAGAUAUCACGCAGAACUCCGAUUGCGAAGGCAGCUUACUAAGCUAUAACUGACACUGAUGCACGAAAGUGUGGGUAUCAAACAGGAUUAGAUACCCUGGUAGUC